GGCUCCCCGAGACACAGCCUUGAACUCUCUACAGGCUUCCCAGACCCUCCUGGCUGGACCACCUACUCCCUGUCCUGGACUCUGUGUCCCAUCUGCCUGGACAGGCCUCUGGACCCGCAUGCAAAGGGCCACCACGGGGCUUUGGGGGGCUCUUUCACCAUAUACCUUCCCCCCACAGCCUGGCCUGCAUCAUCUGAACUCCCCCUCCCUGCCCUCCCACAGAGACCACAGGCCUCUGCAGCCUCCCCCAGCCCCGCCUGGCUCUCCAGCCCCCUGGGGACCUGCCCCGGGAGUGGAGAAGGCCCUGGGAGGAGCAGGACGCUGCGGGGAGCGGGAGCGUGGGGGAUUUCCAGGGGAGUGACACAUCCAGUGUGGACUGUGAGGUCCAGUGUGGACAGGGAGGUGCCCCGGGGUCCAGGGAGGGCACGAAGGUCACAGCAGAGGCUGGAUUCUGGAGGCAGAUGGGAAGGCUCAGGAGCUCACAGUCACAGCAGUGUCUCCAGCCCAAGCGACUGGUCACAGAAGCAAGCAGGUCGGCCACAGUGCUGGCGGGGGAAGCACUCAGCACAUCUACCCGGCCAGGGCCUGGACAGCCAUGAGUGGACGACCGCCCAGCAGAGAUGAGCCUAGGGCCUGGUGAAACCUCCCCUGCCUGGGUGAGGUCAGUGGGUGGACAGUGGCUGCCCAGGGCUCCAGGCAAGGUCCCAGCAGGACCUCUCUCCCUGAACUGCCCUUGGGGUCAGAGCCAGCCUAACCAGCCGUGUGGGCUGGGACCUGCUCUGGCUGAGCGCUGCCCAGCGCCCCACCUCGACCCUUGCUGAGCCUUUGUGGGCCAGGGGCCAGGGCUGCGCCCAUGCCUACUCAGAGCUCACGCCCCAGGCAGCUGGGCUGCGGGCAGCAGUGAGGCCUGGGCAGACCCAGGGGCCCCUGGCGGGUGGAGCAGGGGCAGAGGUCUGCCAAAGCCCCAGAGUGGACCCCUGUAGAGAGGAAGAGGGGGCUGACCCGACUUCCCCAGCCCACAGCUGCUCCCCAGCGGACAGUAAAGGGGCAUCACAGGGUCCCUGCCAAGGCCGGGCAGCAGCCUAGGUGCUCACCAAUUUGGGGAGGUGAGGAAAGACAGCAGCUAUGCGACCCACUGCCAGACAGAGGCGGCCACCCGCGCUCCUGGAGGACGCGCCCAGCCGAGGGGUAGGGGACAGCUUAGACUGACCCACGUGUCUGCUGUGCACGGACGCCGGACACAGGACACUGGCCAGGGCGGCCCACUCCACCCGCCCGCGCCGCACCAUGCCCUAUUAAGGGCAUGACCACCGGGCUCUGCCGAGCGCGCUGCCGGCGGCCGCGACGGUCGAGUGAGGCUGGGGGGUGAGCCGGGGGUCUG
rnacentral:lncRNA from 1 species